rnacentral:lncRNA from 1 species
UUGGUAUUGAUUACCAGAAAACAGAGGGUAGAAACGGUAUAGAGUUGAUGCUGUGUUACGAUAAAACUGGGGAAUCUUAUUAUACUAUCGUUUAACUAUAUACACACAAAGCUUUUGAGGUUUGUACAAGAAUUGUGUGUGUGUGUGUAGAACGCGGAGAAGAUGUAAAUCUUAUUGACUGUUUAUAUAUACACCAACGUUGAAAGAGUGUCUCGUUACACGAGCAGACGAAAUAAAGAAAGCGUGGGAGAAAAAGAACAUGGGGGGGAACAGAUGAGCUUCUUUUCUUAUUGGACGCGAAUGUUGGGUGUUCUAUGCGACUAGCAAAUUCAAGUUGUACCGCUUGUUAAAAAUAAAUGUGAAUCUUUGUAUCCCCCGAAUGUUAUCAAUGAGUGGAAUUUGAUUUACAAAUGUAUCAUACGACACGAGAAAACGCAGAAACUUUUUCUUAUUUCGGAUGGGCCAGACGGACGUGCCAAUUGAGACUGGCCGUUGUAUAUAACGAGAAAGCCAGCCGUUGUCACGCGGGACUUGACGUCAAGUGGACGCCGGAUGUUUUGUCGCAUGAAGUCUAUAGAGAUCUAUCCGUAUACACAUCGACAUGUCGAAAUUGUGGACUGACGAAUCUGUCAAAUGAAGCAAGAAAUGCAUACACGAUAAAAUAAAAAGAUUUCUUUUGAUCUUUUUUCUUGACAGAAGCUUCGGCUUGUGAAGUUUGGGACGAAGCGACUUGCCUGAUUCUCGUUAAAGAAGUUGCUGAUCAUGGCGGCACACAAAACAGCUGCAUGCGGCAGCCAGUGAAGAUCGACAAUUCCCAGGUUCGGCUCACGCAUUUCCAUAGAGAGAAUGAUCUAUAAAGGCAAUUACAUCCAAUGACGAAGGGGAGAUUUCGUGAAUCCAGUUACGUAACGGUCGAUUCACCCAACUUGCCAAACCCCAAAAAUUAUGAAUUCAGGACCUACUGCCUUUUUUGUAUUUUCACUCUGUGCGCGUGUUGGAGAAAAGUCUAGCCGGAAGCUCAGCUGGAUCAAGUCUUUAAACGAAUAAACUUUUAUUUUCGUUUUCCGAGUUUUGAUUUAGGGUUUGAAAUGGUUCUUCAAGCUGUUUGCCAAAAAAAGGAAACUGGGGAUCGACUUCAAUAGAAACCAUAAAUGUUUUGAAGGCAGUAGCGAAAUAAUUUCGACAACAAAAGAUUGAUGUUCAUGAACUUGGGGCGAAUCGGGCGAUCAGCCAAACUUUUCUAUCUCUGUACAUACGUAAUAUUACGUUCAUAGUUCAGCAAUCAAACAGCACGAAAUGGUUGUUGAUGCCCCGAAAAUUAUAGCAAAGUGAUUUUUUCUUUCGUCAAAGAUUCAAAUGGUCCAAUAAAUAGCAGCUGGGAAUAUAGAAUGGAUUUUCCCUCAUUCUUUUCUAUUAUAUAUAUAUACGUCUAUAAUAUAGCUGCCCCGUCUCGCAGCAAUUUCCCUUUUAUUUAUACAGAAUGUGAGCCAAACACAUAUAAAAUUCUAUAUAUGUCUAAUAGAAAGAAAAAAAAGGGAAGAUCAUUAGUCGUUUGUGUAUGUACCUCGAGAAAUCUGGCAGCACCAACCAAAGAACCUUCCGGCAGCUAUGUUCAAUAAAGCACUGCAUAAAACUGUUUCCCUCUCGUGUGUGUUUUUUUUUGUUCCCGCUUACCGUGAA